rnacentral:rRNA from 1 species
UGGGGAAUAUUGCACAAUGGGCGCAAGCCUGAUGCAGCCAUGCCGCGUGUGUGAAGAAGGCCUUCGGGUUGUAAAGCACUUUCAGCGGGGAGGAAGGCGUUAAGGUUAAUAACCUUGGCAAUUGACGUUACCGACAGAAGAAGCACCGGCUAACUCCGUGCCAGCAGCCGCGGUAAUACGGAGGGUGCAAGCGUUAAUCGGAAUUACUGGGCGUAAAGCGCACGCAGGCGGUUGAUUGAGUCAGAUGUGAAAUCCCGGGCUUAACCCGGGAAUUGCAUCUGAUACUGGUCAGCUAGAGUCUUGUAGAGGGGGGUAGAAUUCCAUGUGUAGCGGUGAAAUGCGUAGAGAUGUGGAGGAAUACCGGUGGCGAAGGCGGCCCCCUGGACAAAGACUGACGCUCAGGUGCGAAAGCGUGGGGAGCAAACAGG